CCCCAUAGCUCAGUUGGUAGAGCAUGGUGUUUGCAACGCCAGGGUUGUGGGUUCGAUUCCCACGGGGG
rnacentral:tRNA from 1 species